rnacentral:rRNA from 1 species
GCAGCAGCCACGGUAAAACGUAGGUGGCAAGCGUUGUCCGGAAUUAUUGGGCGUAAAGGGCUCGCAGGCGGUUUCUUAAGUCUGAUGUGAAAGCCCCCGGCUCAACCGGGGAUGGUCAUUGGAAACUGGGAAACUUGAGUGCAGAAGAGGAGAGUGGAAUUCCACGUGUAGCGGUGAAAUGCGUAGAGAUGUGGAGGAACACCAGUGGCGAAGGCGACUCUCUGGUCUGUAACUGACGCUGAGGAGCGAAAGCGUGGGGAGCGAACAGGAUUAGAUACCCCAGUAGUCCCUGUCUCUUAUAU